ACAAAGGACAAAAGAGUAUAGUACAGUCGUGCAUCCACAAAGGACAAAAGAGUAUAGUACACUUGUGUACCCUCAAAAGCAGAGUACUCGACAGCAUUGUGACUACUCGAAACCCAGCACUACUCUAAGCCAAGCCCGACCUACAUCAUUAUCUCGGGGGCUUGGAAUACUCCGACCCCAAGACUUCGGGUUGGACGAGGCGGAGCUCUUCCCUCAAAGGGUCGGGCUCAGCCGACCCUAGGACUUUGGGUCGGGCGAAGCGGAGUAAACCACUCCUCCC
rnacentral:lncRNA from 1 species